rnacentral:rRNA from 1 species
GAACGGGUGAUUAACGCGUAAGCAAUCUGCCCCUAAGACGAGGAUAACAGUUGGAAACGACUGCUAAGACUGGAUAGGAGACAAGAAGGCAUCUUCUUGUUUUUAAAAGACCUAGCAAUAGGUAUGCUUAGGGAGGAGCUUGCGUCACAUUAGUUAGUUGGUGGGGUAAAGGCCUACCAAGACUAUGAUGUGUAGCCGGGCUGAGAGGUUGAACGGCCACAUUGGGACUGAGACACGGCCCAAACUCCUACGGGAGGCAGCAGUAGGGAAUUUUCGGCAAUGGAGGAAACUCUGACCGAGCAACGCCGCGUGAACGAUGAAGUAUUUCGGUACGUAAAGUUCUUUUAUUAGGGAAGAAUAAAUGAUGGAAAAAUCAUUCUGACGGUACCUAAUGAAUAAGCCCCGGCUAACUAUGUGCCAGCAGCCGCGGUAAUACAUAGGGGGCAAGCGUUAUCCGGAAUUAUUGGGCGUAAAGGGUGCGUAGGCGGUUAAAUAAGUUUAUGGUCUAAGUGCAAUGCUCAACAUUGUGAUGCUAUAAAAACUGUUUAGCUAGAGUAAGAUAGAGGCAAGUGGAAUUCCAUGUGUAGUGGUAAAAUGCGUAAAUAUAUGGAGGAACACCAGUAGCGAAGGCGGCUUGCUGGGUCUUUACUGACGCUGAGGCACGAAAGCGUGGGGAGCAAACAGGAUUAGAUACCCUGGUAGUCCACGCCGUAAACGAUGAGUACUAAACGUUGGGUAAAACCAGUGUUGAAGUUAACACAUUAAGUACUCCGCCUGAGUAGUACGUACGCAAGUAUGAAACUUAAAGGAAUUGACGGGACUCCGCACAAGCGGUGGAUCAUGUUGUUUAAUUCGAAGGUACCCGAAAAACCUCACCAGGUCUUGACAUGCUUCUGCAAAGCUGUAGAAACACAGUGGAGGUUAUCAGUUGCACAGGUGGUGCAUGGUUGUCGUCAGCUCGUGUCGUGAGAUGUUGGGUUAAGUCCCGCAACGAGCGCAACCCUUAUUGUUAGUUACCAGCACGUAAUGGUGGGGACUUUAGCAAGACUGCCAGUGAUAAAUUGGAGGAAGGUGGGGACGACGUCAAAUCAUCAUGCCCCUUAUGACCUGGGCUACAAACGUGAUACAAUGGCUGUUACAAAGGGUAGCUGAAGCGCAAGUUUUUGGCGAAUCUCAAAAAAACAGUCUCAGUUCGGAUUGAAGUCUGCAACUCGACUUCAUGAAGUUGGAAUCGCUAGUAAUCGCGAAUCAGCAUGUCGCGGUGAAUACGUUCUCGGGGUUUGUACACACCGCCCGUCAAACCACGAAAGUUGGCAAUACCCAAAGCCGGUGGCCUAACUUCGCAAG